GGAUAUGAGAGAGCGAUCUGGCUGGGACAUCUGUUAACCCACUGAUCACUCAGGUUGAUUUGGUGGACUAGGCUGGUGUCCCCUUCCUUUUUCACUGCUCCAUUUAUGUCCCUCCCAAAACCGUGUGGUACAUAGAAGAGGACGACCACCCCAGAUAGAGGAAGACCAUUUCCUUGGUCAAAGGUAUACAAAUUGCUACACUCCCCUGCUAGAAGCUCCAAACAAGUUCUCAAGAAAUGAGAGACUGAAAUGGAAUGCCAUUAAACAAUAACAUGUCAAAAAUAUGAUACUAAUAAAUUU
rnacentral:snRNA from 1 species